rnacentral:rRNA from 1 species
AUUGAACGCUGGCGGCAGGCCUAACACAUGCAAGUCGAGCGGCAGCGGAAAGUAGCUUGCUACUUUGCCGGCGAGCGGCGGACGGGUGAGUAAUGUCUGGGAAACUGCCUGAUGGAGGGGGAUAACUACUGGAAACGGUAGCUAAUACCGCAUAACGUCGCAAGACCAAAGAGGGGGACCUUCGGGCCUCUUGCCAUCAGAUGUGCCCAGAUGGGAUUAGCUAGUAGGUGGGGUAACGGCUCACCUAGGCGACGAUCCCUAGCUGGUCUGAGAGGAUGACCAGCCAAACUGGAACUGAGACACGGUCCAGACUCCUACGGGAGGCAGUAGUGGGGAAUAUUGCACAAUGGGCGCAAGCCUGAUGCAGCCAUGCCGCGUGUAUGAAGAAGGCCUUCGGGUUGUAAAGUACUUUCAGCGGGGAGGAAGGCGUUGAGGUUAAUAACCUCAGCGAUUGACGUUACCCGCAGAAGAAGCACCGGCUAACUCCGUGCCAGCCGCCGCGGUAA